AAGCGUGGACGCCAGUCUGCGUGGAGCCGACCUUGAAAUACCACCCUUUAAUGUUUGAUGUUCUAACGUGGAUCCGUAAUCCGGGUUGCGGACAGUGUCUGGUGGGUAGUUUGACUGGGGCGGUCUCCUCCUAAAGAGUAACGGAGGAGCACGAAGGUUGGCUAAUCCUGGUCGGACAUCAGGAGGUUAGUGCAAUGGCAUAAGCCAGCUUGACUGCGAGCGUGACGGCGCGAGCAGGUGCGAAAGCAGGUCAUAGUGAUCCGGUGGUUCUGAAUGGAAGGGCCAUCGCUCAACGGAUAAAAGGUACUCCGGGGAUAACAGGCUGAUACCGCCCAAGAGUUCAUAUCGACGGCGGUGUUUGGCACCUCGAUGUCGGCUCAUCACAUCCUGGGGCUGAAGUAGGUCCCAAGGGUAUGGCUGUUCGCCAUUUAAAGUGGUACGCGAGCUGGGUUUAGAACGUCGUGAGACAGUUCGGUCCCUAUCUGCCGUGGGCGCUGGAGAACUGAGGGGGGCUGCUCCUAGUACGAGAGGACCGGAGUGGACGCAUCACUGGUGUUCGGGUUGUCAUGCCAAUGGCACUGCCCGGUAGCUAAAUGCGGAAGAGAUAAGUGCUGAAAGCAUCUAAGCACGAAACUUGCCCCGAG
rnacentral:rRNA from 1 species